UACGUAGGGGGCGAGCGUUGUCCGGAUUUAUUGGGCGUAAAACGCUUGUAGGUGGCUACGUCAAGUCGGACGUGAAAUCUCCCGGCUUAACUGGGAGGGGUCGCUCGAUACUGGCGAGCUCGAGGCAGGUAGGGGGAAGCGGAAUUCCCGGUGUAGUGGUGGAAUGCGUAGAUAUCGGGAGGAACACCAGUGGCGAAGGCGGCUUCCUGGACCUGUUCUGACGCUGAGGAGCGAAAGCGUGGGGAGCGAGCCGG
rnacentral:rRNA from 1 species